rnacentral:rRNA from 1 species
CCUACGGGUGGCAGCAGUGGGGAAUAUUGGGCAAUGGGCGCAAGCCUGACCCAGCAACGCCGCGUGAAGGAAGAAGGCUUUCGGGUUGUAAACUUCUUUUCUCAGGGACGAAGAAAGUGACGGUACCUGAGGAAUAAGCCACGGCUAACUACGUGCCAGCAGCCGCGGUAAUACGUAGGUGGCAAGCGUUAUCCGGAUUCACUGGGUGUAAAGGGCGUGUAGGCGGGAAAGCAAGUCAGAUGUGAAAACCAUGGGCUCAACCUGUGGCCUGCAUUUGAAACUGUUUUUCUUGAGUACUGGAGAGGCAGACGGAAUUCCUAGUGUAGCGGUGAAAUGCGUAGAGAUUAGGAGGAACACCAGUGGCGAAGGCGGUCUGCUGGACAGCAACUGACGCUGAGGCGCGAAAGCGUGGGGAGCAAACAGGAUUAGAUACCCCUGUAGUC